GAGUAGUGAAGGGAAAUCCUUUUGUAUGAAAAAUCUAAACCACUCAAGUUAGACGUUUGAAAUUUGGCAUGCAGGUACCUUAGAUACCGUAGAGGUGCACUAAGAAAGGAAUUCCCGAAAUUCCCACGGGAACGGGAAUUAGCGGAAAAAUAU